CCCUGGUCGGAGCUGGUCACGUGACCCAUAGAAAAUUGAUAGCCCAAGGGGGGAUGGAAAAGUCUCAUAUUACAUAUUUCCACUUCCGCACUUCGCAGUUCGAUUGCAAGGAGUGGCCGUUCUAUACAAUCAUCUAAUUCAUCUUCGAGACUAUCAUAUACACCUCAAACUACUUGCUAAAUUGGUUUCUGUUUGCUUUUAAAUUAUACAAACAUGCUAAAAUGCAGAUUCUUAUAGCAACAGAAAAUUCAGGAAAUCAAGCAACGAGAACGUAUGACUGUACGCUUUGAAAUAUUUUUAUUUUCUCGGGGUUCCCCGAUUCGGGCGUAGUUUCAUUUCACGCGUACGUUUCUGUUCUGGCUCUGAUAUUUAUAAUAUGCUUAUAAUAUGCCAAUGAAUUGUUCUGAUAUGGACACGGUGUAAAUUUUGUUAAACAGAUGUCUCAAAAGCGACUGUUUAUAGGUCGUAGGAUUAGCGCCUUGCCGGUCUUAAACGUGACACAUUUGGACACAAGCCAAAUACACAUUGAAUGUCCAUUCUAUUGAUUCUAAAACUGUUUAUAGACAUAUUGCUCUAGAUUUUUUUUAAAGGUUAUCAUCGUUUAUAUUAAACACCAGGAAGACAAAAUAUAACUUACAAAAUUGUUUGAAAUCGACAGUGCACAGCUGACAUACGUGACAAUUCACAACUGCAUGAAUUUCCUUUUUUGUCGAUCUGCACGAGUACCUGUUUGUUGAAGCCAAAAUAUUGCACAGCAUCUCCUAUAAAUUCUAUCGCCAUUUACCCUCCCCUUAAAUGCAAAGGAAUGACAGCAGAAAAGGUUUAGCAAAGUAUUUUUUAUUACAUCUGGUAUAAAGUGUCCUACGUUUUAUCAGGAUAUACAUAAUUCAUAAACUGUAUAUGCACACGAAGUCUCUCUUAUAUUAAUGAGUUUUACUGUAACAAACUUUUAAAGAUUCCAUUGAUAGAUAGGUUGUUUGCCUCCAGUAUUGUUUAGUAAAACAGACUAAACUUCUAAAAUGUCGGUUACGGAAUACGAAAAAGAUUAAAGUUGAUUUAAAUAUUGAUAACUCACAGCGGCAUUAAUCCAUUAUACAAGUCUAAGGAAGCUGGAUUAUUCUUCAAUAAAGCCCUCAAUGGACAAUGCCAAUGUCAAUGAAAGGUCUAAUAUUAUACAUGUUGCAAAUUACUGUAUACACAAAAUAUGAAAUAAUUUAUAUAAAGUACAAAUACCAGUGUCUGGUGCAUAUAUCGUCGUAGAUAUUCAAGUUGUACCGCACGCACGGAAACGCACGAAGGAGUCUUGGCGUUUGUGUGAUAACAGAUAGCUAGCUACACUUCGACAUUAUCUUUCUUGAUCGUUGAGUUUCAGUAAUGUAAAUGAAAUGAAUUUUAUAGCCAGUCCAUAACGGUUUUAAUCCUGUGCUUUUACAGUCAAAAUAGCACUAUUGUUUACACAUGUUGGCGAUGUUUGGGA